AAUUAAAACAAUAUUAAAAGAAAGUUGAAAAAUAAUAAGUGCAGAAAAGAUUACAUACAUACGACCUCACACUUAAACAGUGUACACAAUGAUAAAGCAAGGCAGCACCGCCCUUGGAUUGAAGACCAACAACUCUUCAUCAUCAAGCUUG